CGCAAGCCUGACGGAGCAACGCCGCGUGUGGGAAGAAGGCUCUUGGGCUGUCAACCACUUUUCUCAGGGAAGAAGCCCUGACGGUACCUGAGGAAUCAGCCUCGGCUAACUCCGUGCCAGCCGCGGUAAGACGGAGGAGGCAAGCGUUAUCCGGAAUUAUUGGGCGUAAAGCGUCCGCAGGCGGCUAGUUAAGUCUGUUGUUAAAGCCCACAGCUCAACUGUGGAUCGGCAAUGGAAACUGAAUAACUUGAGAGCGGUAGGGGUAGAGGGAAUUCCCGGUGUAGCGGUGAAAUGCGUAGAUAUCGGGAAGAACACCAGUGGCGAAGGCGCUCUACUGGGCCGCAACUGACGCUGAGGGACGAAAGCUAGGGGAGCG
rnacentral:rRNA from 1 species